UACGUAGGGUGCGAGCGUUAAUCGGAAUUACGGGGCGUAAAGCGUGCGCAGGCGGCCUUGCAAGACAGAUGUGAAAUCCCCGGGCUUAACCUGGGAACUGCAUUUGUGACUGCAUGGCUGGAGUGCGGCAGAGGGGGAUGGAAUUCCGCGUGUAGCAGUGAAAUGCGUAGAGAUGUGGAGGAAUACCGAUGGCGAAGGCAGCCCCCUGGGCCAAUACUGACGCUCAUGCACGAAAGCGUGGGGAGCAAACAGG
rnacentral:rRNA from 1 species